rnacentral:rRNA from 1 species
AACGAACGCUGGCGGCGUGGAUAAGACAUGCAAGUCGAACGGGACUUUUUCUGGUAGCAAUACCGGAAAAAGUCUAGUGGCGAACGGGUGCGUAACACGUGGACAAUCUGCCUUAAAGUGGGGGAUAGCUCGGCGAAAGCCGAAUUAAUACCGCAUGUGAUGAGGGAAGACAUCUUUCCGAAAUCAAAGCCGGGGCAACCUGGCGCUUUUUGAGGAGUCCGCGGCCUAUCAGCUUGUUGGUGAGGUAACGGCUCACCAAGGCUAUGACGGGUAGCUGGUCUGAGAGGACGACCAGUCACACUGGAACUGAGACACGGUCCAGACACCUACGGGUGGCAGCAGUCGAGAAUUUUUCUCAAUGGGGGAAACCCUGAAGGAGCGACGCCGCGUGGAGGAUGAAGGUCUUCGGGUUGUAAACUCCUGUCAUUUGAGAACAAGGUGCACACAGUAACUACGUGGCAUUGAUAGUAUCAGAAGAGGAA